GGACGUAGACACACACCCAGGGAAGACCCAGUGAAGACAGAGGGAGGGAUGGCCGUCCCACUGGGGCCAUCAAGGCUCCAAACUGGCUUCAAGUCCAGGGGCAGAAGGACUUCUGUCCACCACUGAAGCUGGAAGCCGCAGGGAAGGGUCGUCUCCCCUCAGGUCCUCAGAUCAAUGGAGGCAAAAAACCAGGAGAUCCCAUAAAUCCUGUUGAGCCUGUCACAGCUGCCAAAUUAUGCCCUGAUAAAGCUUUUGGUGGCUAAUGAUAUGGCCGUUCACCCGGCGUGGAUGCGACUGGGAGGGGGCUUUCUGGAGAGCAUCUGGCCUGAGGUGGAGACACUUGUCAUAGAGUGUUACCUGAAGGCUCUUUGGCUCUAACGAAGGGUGAAGAUUUGAACGUGAUUAUUUCUAAAUAAAUAAAUAAUAAGGAUAAUUUAAAAAUAAACAAAGAUCUGGAUUUAAAGGCUACAUAUUGUCCCCAGACCAAGAUUAACGGCCUGGGGUCCUUAUAAGGAGAGGAGGUGAGACUCACCCAGACGCACAGAGGGACCACCAC